GGAAGGAAGUACGUGGACUAAAACUGCAGCAGCUGUGAAAGUUUGAUCCACAAACAUGGCCGCGCACGAGGAGUUCUUUGCGGGUAUACCCAAGAUCCAGUAUGUGCCAGAUGCUGGACCUGGAGAUGUCAUGUGCUUCAAACACUACAAUCCAACAGAGGUUCUGAUGGGGAGGACGAUGGAGGACUGGCUGAGGUUCUCCGUCUGCUACUGGCACUCCUUCUGUGGAACUGGUGCCGAUCCUUUCGGCUUUCCAACUCUCCUCCAGCGAGUCUGGAAUGAAGGGACUCCGAUGGAAGCAGCCAAGAAGCGACUCCGGGCUGCUUUUGAGUUUUUCACCAAGCUUGGCGUCAAGUUUUACACAUUUCAUGACAGAGACAUGUCCCCCGAGGGCGCCACCCUGGAGGAGUCCAACAAGAAUCUGGAUGAAAUAACGGACCUGGCUCUGCAGCUGCAAACCCAGACUGGAGUCAAGGUGCUGUGGGUCACCUGCAACCUCUUUGCUCAUCCAAGGUACAUGAAUGGUGCAGCCACAAACCCAGACUGCCAUGUUCUGGCCUAUGCUGGUGCUCAGGUGAAAAAGGGUCUGGAUGUUGCCAAGAAACUAGGUGCAGAGAACUUCGUAUUUUGGGGAGGAAGAGAAGGUUUCCACUCAAUCCUCAACACUGAUGUCGCUGCUGAACUGAAGCACAUGGCCGGCUUCUUCAAAAUGGCCGCCAGGUACAAAGAGAAGAUUGGGCUGAAGUGUCAGUUUCUGAUUGAGCCCAAGCCAAAGGAGCCCUGCAGACACCAGUAUGAUUACGACGCCAUGAGUGUUAUAGGAUUCCUAAAGCAUCACGGCCUGGAGAGGGACUUUAAACUGAACAUCGAGCCCAACCACACCACCCUGGCAGGACACUCCUAUGAACAUGACAUUGUCGUGGCCUCUGCUUUUGGUAUGCUGGGUUCAGUAGACUCAAACACUGGCUCUCCAGACCUGGGAUGGGACACAGAUCAGUUCCCCAUGGACAUCAGAAACACCACAUUGGUCAUGAAGACUAUCGUUGAACAAGGUGGCCUGCAGCCAGGAGGCCUGAACUUUGAUGCAAAGGUGCGCAGAGAGUCCACCGACCUGGAGGAUCUGUUCAUCGCUCACAUUGGGGCGAUGGACGCCUUCGCCAGAGGGUUGAGAAACGCUGUCCACAUCAUUGAGGACGGGCUUAUCACUGGCAUGGUGAAGGAGCGGUACUCAAGCUUCAGUCAUGGCCUUGGACAGAAGGUGGAGGACGGUUCAGCCACCUUAGAGGAGAUGGAGGCUUUCAUCAAGGAGAACGGGGAGCCGAAGGUAACAUCAGGGAAGCAAGAAAAAUACGAGUCCAUCUUUAAUCACUACAUAUAACAAUCUUCCUCUUCCUGCUUAGUUUUAUAUAUUAGAUUUCUGCUCUGCAGCUUAAACAUGGUUAGAAAGCUGAAUUCUUCUCUUAAAUGUAAGCAAAUUAGCCAUAUACACAAAGUGUUAAUUCAGUAUUAAAUGAUGAAUGCAUGUAUGUAGCACAUCACAGUACUGGAGGAGAGUAUGAGCUUAUGACAUUUACUGUGUUAUAAUAAGCUAAUCUGUGAGAAUGUUUACUUAAAUGUCUCCACAGCAUCAAAACCCUGGUAAUAAUUCUGAUAGAUUAGGAAAUCUGACAAAUAUAUUUAGCCUAAAUGUCUUUUCUCCAGUUGAGUGUGAGGGAGGACAGUCUAUUGUUAACAUGGCAAUCUGCAAUUUUAGUGUAAAUGUUUAACUGUAUAAUCCAUAAAACAUAAAAAUAUGCAUUAUUCUCAAAUAUGAUAGGAUGCUUUAUAAUUGUAUCACUUAAAUACUGCAAUGGUUGACUAACUCAUUGAAGGAGCUCUCACUCUGCACCAUUUUCAGAAAUUUAUGGAGUGUGAGUCCUCUACUUGGACAUUAAAUUUAAAGUUGGAUUACAAGACAAAUAUACUGUAUUAGUCAAAAUAUAACUAGUAAACUUUUAUUCCUCUGCUCCAUAGAAGCUGUUUUAUUUGACCAGCGGCUCAGAUUUACUCAGAGUGAAUUCUCUCGUCAAACAUUAACAAUCUUUGUUCUCCUUCACCUCCUAGACACUGUACAGCACUUAAAACGCAUCUUUUGCACUGACAUCACAUCAUACUACCGUCCUGCAGGACGGCUGACCAAUCAGCAGCCGGGAUGAGGCCCGGUGCCGGGUCCGCCGUCCAAUCAAUGUAUAGCGUGAGCUCUGCUCACGCUGCACGUCACUCCUGAUUGGAGGACUGGGCAGUGGAGGAGGCGGGACUUACAACCUGCCAAUCAGAAGUCGCCCGUCUUUCUGAUUAUCAUAAAAUAUUCAGCAGCAUCCGUCGGUGUCGGUGAACAU
rnacentral:lncRNA from 1 species